rnacentral:tRNA from 1 species
UGGAGCGUAGCCAAGCUGGUAAGGCGCCCGGCUGUUAACCGGGUCACGCGCUGGUUCGAGUCCAGCCGCUCCAG